GAUGAACGCUAGCGGGAGGCUUAACACAUGCAAGUCGAGGGGCAGCACGAGGUAGCAAUACUUUGGUGGCGACCGGCGCACGGGUGAGUAACGCGUAUGCAGCCUACCCUGUACAGGGGGAUAACCCGGAGAAAUUCGGACUAAUACCCCAUAAAGAUAUUUGGAGGCAUCUUUGAAUAUUUAAAGUUCCGGCGGUACGGGAUGGGCAUGCGUGACAUUAGCUAGUUGGUAGGGUAACGGCCUACCAAGGCUUCGAUGUCUAGGGGUCCUGAGAAGGUGAUCCCCCACACUGGUAAUGAGACACGGACCAGACUCCUACGGGAGGCAGCAGUGAGGAAUAUUGGUCAAUGGGCGCAAGCCUGAACCAGCCAUCCCGCGUGAAGGAAGAAGGCGCUAUGCGUUGUAAACUUCUUUUCCAGGGGAAGAAAACCAGAUACGAGUACCGGCUUGCCGGUACCCUGGGAAUAAGCAUCGGCUAACUCCGUGCCAGCAGCCGCGGUAACAC
rnacentral:rRNA from 1 species